GCAAUAUCGUUCUAGUCGCUGUCAAAACGGUUUCGCGUGAGCUUGCGGUCGUUCGCAAAGUCCGAUAUUUUCUGUGUCGUCGCAUUUUUUACUCGAUGGAUUUUUGCACUUUUUUCCUGCACGAAAACCCACCGCGAAAUAUCCACAAUGCCCGCUCUGCUGCGUUGUUGCCUCCCGGAGAAUUCCAAUCACAUGACCCAGCAGCAUUAUCAUGAUUGCUUAACGGAGAUUAUCUACAGUGCUAUUACCCCUAUUACCGUAUACGACAGAUGACGUAGACAGUAUACAUCCUUAUAUAUCAGAACAGCUGCCGUUGUCACACCUGUCGGUUAAGGGCCGGCCGGAUGGAAGAGCUCGUGCCCUCGCUACAGAUGCGCCUGCUGAUCAGAUUUGAAGAUUCAGUAGCGGAUAGAACAAACACGUCAUCAGUAAAUCGACAAGAACAAGAUAAUUCUCCUUCUAGCGUACGAAUCCAGGGAUGCCAUAGAUUCGCAUUUUUAUCAAUCAUCUAGAGACCCAUUGAUUA